AUAAACUACCAAUUUAAUGACUAACCAGCUUGUACUCUCGGAAGAGUUUCCCGAGCUUUUGUAAAAAACCUUGAGCUUUGAACAUUUUUCAAACAGAAAUCACUAUUUUUGCCUCUCUUUCUCUUAACUCUCCGUACGUGCCAGUGAGGAGCAUUUUAGUUAGAGCCCUGUCAGUGCCGUGGUACAGCCCUCCUGCCUCCCUCCUGCUGCUGGCGAGGAGAAAUGCUGCUCCUGUGUAGUUCGAGCAGUAAACAGAAAUUACACUACAGCUGGGUGAAAAAGCAAAAUCAGAGCCCACCAGCAGAAGAAAGCAAAAAAUGAAACCAAACCCUAACCCUGAAUAUUUGUAUGAGUAGCAAACCAGCAGGAUCUAAACAAGUAGAAGCAAAGAAGGAUCAAGUAGCUCCUGAACAAGGUCACCAAGGAUUUUUUGGGGGGACAUGGCACAUUCCCCUUGCAGACCACUGGUGUGGAAGACCCAGGGCUCCACCACUAUUGCCCAACCUCCAAAUCUCUGUGUGUGCACUAUUCUGUCCUCCUGCCUGCUGCCAGUGCUGCUCAGCAAACUUCCCUUGGGCAGACUGUGAGCAGAACAGCGGGGAGGAAGGAUGCUGGUGCUGCUGCCAUAACACUGCACCUUUUCUUUAAGGUGUCUUCCUCUGGUGUUUGGAAAACAGUGAAUUCUCAAAUCCUCUAGCAGCCACUCCUGCUUCCAGAAAUUCCAUGUAAUAAAGGCUGUGGAAGUCAGGCUUUAUUCCCUAAA
rnacentral:lncRNA from 1 species